rnacentral:rRNA from 1 species
UGGUCAGUGAGAGGAUAUGGAGGAAAAUUUUAUAAUCCUUCACAUACCCUCUUAAACACACGUCUUAGCGUGAGGAUGAUAAUGUAGCAUAAUAAUUUGGCAUUUAAUUGGUGUCUGGAAUGAAUGGUUAAAUGAUUUUACCUUUGUCUCAAGUAAAUACGAUAAAAAAUUAAAAUAAUAGUGUAGAUGCUGUUUAUAUUCUGUAAGACGAAAAGACCCCAAAACCUUUACUAACGGGUUUGCUUAGAAUAUAUUUAGUGUUUGGUCACCUCAGCUGAGGUUACUACCUUCUAAGAGUAUCUAAGUAAACAGGCUAGUUUGACUGGGGCGGUCGUCUUUUAUCGAUAACAAUAACAAAGAUAUCUUAUAUUUACCUAGAUUAAAUUCUUUCAGGUUUAAAUACGACUUUUCUUAGCUUAAUAUCAAUUUAUAAUCUCUUCCAUCAAUAUCUUUAUCGUCGUUUCUUAUCACGCGCUGAUCGAAUAUAUUUAGUUUGAAAUUAUUUAUCAAUAAUAUGCUAUCAAAGCGGGUAUGAAAACCAGGGUGUAAAACUUUUUAGGUUAUCAUCUUAAAAGAUUUAAGAAGAAAGAUUUUACGAUCAUUUGGGUAAUAUCAUUAGAAAAAGGUACUUUGGGGAUAACAGCGUUAUUUUUAGUGGAAGAUGUUAUUUAGCUAAAUGUUUGCGACCUCGAUGUUGAAUUGGGAUAUCCUAUAAUUAGCAGAAGAUAUAAGGGGUUAGA